rnacentral:misc_RNA from 1 species
CCGAGUUUACAACUCCCAAACCCCUGUGAACAUACCACUUGUUGCCUCGGCGGAUCAGCCCGCUCCCGGCAAAACGGGACGGCCCGCCAGAGGACCCCUAAACUCUGUUUCUAUAUGUAACUUCUGAGUAAAACCAUAAAUAAAUCA